rnacentral:rRNA from 1 species
UUACCUCAGUAACGGCGAGUGAAGCGGUAACAGCUCAAAUUUGAAAUCUGGCAGCAAUGUCCGAGUUGUAAUUUGUAGAGGAUGUUUCGAGCAUGGUCUGGCCUAAGUUCCUUGGAACAGGACGUCAUAGAGGGUGAGAAUCCCGUAUGCGGUCAGGUGCCUACGCUCAUGUGAAACUCCUUCGACGAGUCGAGUUGUUUGGGAAUGCAGCUCAAAAUGGGUGGUAAAUUUCAUCUAAAGCUAAAUAUUGGCCAGAGACCGAUAGCGCACAAGUAGAGUGAUCGAAAGAUGAAAAGCACUUUGGAAAGAGAGUUAAACAGUACGUGAAAUUGUUGAAAGGGAAGCGCUUGCAACCAGACUUGCACGCAGCUGAUCAUCCGCUGUUCUCAGUGGUGCACUCGGUUGCGUUCAGGCCAGCAUCGGUUUUGGUGGUGGGAUAAAGGCCUUAGGAAUGUAGCUGCUUUCGGGCAGUGUUAUAGCCUAGGGUGCAAUGCCGCCUACUGGGACCGAGGACCGCGCUUCGGCUAGGAUGCUGGCGUAAUGGUUGUAAGCGACCCGUCUUGAAACACGGACCAAGGAGUCUAACAUCUAUGCGAGUGUUUGGGUGUCAAACCCAUACGCGUAAUGAAAGUGAACGGAGGUCAGAACCCUUAAGGGUGCAUGAUCGACCGGUCCUGAAGUCUUCGGAUGGAUCUGAGUAAGAGCAUAGCUGUUGGGGACCCGAAAGAUGGUGAACUAUGCCUGAAUAGGGUGAAGCCAGAGGAAACUCUGGUGGAGGCUCGCAGCGGUUCUGACGUGCAAAUCGAUCGUCAAUUUGGGUAUAGGGGCGAAAGACUAAUCGAACCAUCUAGUAGC